UACGAACUGUGCGAACGUUAUUCGGAAUCACUGGGCUUACAGGGUGCGUAGGCGGCUUGUCAAGUAGGGUGUGAAAGCCCCCGGCCCAACCGGGGAAUUGCGCCCUAAACUGGCGAGCUGGAGUGAGAUAGGGGUGUGUGGAACUUCCGGUGGAGCGGUGAAAUGUGUUGAUAUCGGAAGGAACGCCGGUGGCGAAAGCGACACACUGGAUCUUGUCUGACGCUGAGGCACGAAAGCCAGGGGAGCGAACGGG
rnacentral:rRNA from 1 species